UGUGUUUGAGCUUUUGAUUUUGCCAUUUGAUAAGGGACUUUCCUUUUUGAAUUUUCCUUGAAGUUCAGUAUUUUUGCUAUUUUACUUAUUCUUUCCAUUGCAUUUCUUGGUCGGUGGUGCUAUUUUCCUUCCUUUGAAUCCAUUUGGUCUUUUUAUACAAGGUAUAAUUAUUUUUACACGAAAUAACGCGUAGGCCUUAUUACUAAUUACAUGCUAUUUGUGUUAUCUAGCAUUGAUUAAAAUGUACUGUUUUCUUGAAAAGAUCUGUUACAUGCAAAUGAACAAUCAUGUAGUGUAAUUAUUUUAAUGUAUGUAAAUUUAUC
rnacentral:lncRNA from 1 species